rnacentral:rRNA from 1 species
AGUGAACGCUGGCGGCGUGCCUAAUACAUGCAAGUCGAACGGAGUGGCGCACGGGUGCGUAAUAUAUAGCUAAUCUGCCCCUUGCUGGAGGACAACAGUUAGAAAUGACUGCUAAUACUCCAUAGCAAGGGAUGAGACUAUAUCGUAUCAGCUAGUCGGUGGGGUAACGGCCUACCGAGGCUAUGACGAGUAACUGGUCUGAGAGGAUGAUCAGGUACAUUGGAACUGAGACACGGUGCAAAGUCCUUCGGGAGGCAGCAGGAGGGAAGAUGGCGCAAUGGGGGUAACCCUUAAGAAGCAACGCCGCGUGGAGGAUGACACUUUUCGGAGCGUAAACUCCUUUUGGUAGGGAAGCGGUACCUAACGAAUAAGCACCGGCUAACUCCGUGCCAGCAGCCGCGGUAAUUC